rnacentral:rRNA from 1 species
CGGGUGAGUAAUACAUCGGAACGUGUCUUCUAGUGGGGGAUAACUGCCCGAAAGGGCAGCUAAUACCGCAUGAGGCCUGAGGGUGAAAGCGGGGGAUCGCAAGACCUCGCGCUGGAAGAGCGGCCGAUGUCCGAUUAGCUAGUUGGUGAGGUAAAGGCUCACCAAGGCGACGAUCGGUAGCUGGUCUGAGAGGACGACCAGCCACACUGGGACUGAGACACGGCCCAG